rnacentral:lncRNA from 1 species
GUGGAAAUGGGCUCAGAAAUUUGCAAGAAAAUUAAACCUUGGAUAUUUCAUUCCACAAUAAUCCCAAUUGUGCUACCACCUGUCUGUGUCUUGCAGUGUCUCCCUGCUCUUGCCCCUUCUGCCUGCCCUGCAUCUGCCCUGGCAUGACCCAUCCAUCAGUGCUCCUCCUCAAAUCAAACCCUCCAUCACGGCUGUGGACCAGAUGGCACCAAUCCUCCUGGCACAGCCCCAGCACAGCCCCAGAACUUGCCAGCCCAGCUCAUCUGGAGAGCUUCUGAGGCAUUUCAGGAUCAAGAGAUGUGAAGGUCAUUCCAGCAGUGUCCUGCUACAGAGACUCCUGCAGGCUCCCUCCACACCUGGAGCUGCACAGAGGGUGACAGACAGGCUCCUUUGGCUAAGCCUACUCAGACUGGAGGGAUUUCGCUGUCUCUGAAGGAAGGAGUUUGAUUCUUCCCCAUGACCUGCUUCAAGCAAAGCCACAGCAACCAAAUGGACCAUGCUGUGUGAAAUGCAGAGUCACACUGGUGUGAGUCAAACAUUCCCCUCCGGUGUUGGAGGGUUUGGCUAAAGAGCAAAACAAAGCAAAUGCAUCAGCAGCUCAAAGUGGAUGGGGUUUUUUGCUUUCUUCAUGGCAGAAGCCCAGAAGACUCUGACUGACAUCAAAAAGUAACUUAUCACCUUGAGGUCUGUGGAGAAGCAGAGAGAUGGUGAAACCUCCCACCCCUUCCAUCAUCUAAAGCUUCAGGAGUUUUCUUUCCACUUGUGUUUUCAUAGCCAGCCUCGAGGAGAGCAACUGUUCAAAAGGGACAUUAGGUGCACCUUCUGUUGGCUGAACCAAUUAAAACUACCCUUCAGUGCCACCAGGAGCACAUACACACACACAAAAGGAAAAUUCAAGGAGGAAAAGAGAAACAAGCACAGAGCCUCACUGAGGGACCUGGCUAGGGACUACACUGAUGUGCUUCAAGGUCAUGAGCUCGACUUCAGAUAAGGCUAGAAACAAAAAUUUCUACUGGUGGCUGCUCAGUGGCCUAUAUGAAAUUAAUGGAUAGUCUCUUGUAGCCAUUUAAUUUAGAGAUAACUGGUAUAUGCUUAGUAAGAAAUAUGCACAAAUAAAACAUUUAAAGUUUUUGAUGAGCUGAUGGAU